GUACAAACAAUUCUCACAUAUUUUCUGCUUCAUUUUAGUCUUUUUAAACACUUUUGUAGUUUAUGCAGGAAAAUAUCAUGGAAAUAUCAGAUGUGCUGCAUAAUUAUAUCUUCACACUUUACUCUUUAUUUGAAAGUUUUGACUCUUGAUGUGUUUUGUGGACUUGUGGCAUUGGACCGUGUCCCUCGUGGUGUCCUGUGGGGGGCGCUCUGGGAGUCUGGGGUCCAGUCCCUGUAUGACCGGAGCAGGAGCUGUGUUCGUUGGCGGCAAUGAUGUUGUUCUGUUGGCUUCAUCGAGCCAGGACCUGCAGCACUGGGGCGGUUUGACCCGAGUGUGAAGCGUCUGGGAUGAAGAUCAACUCUUCUAAGUCUGAGGUUGUGGUUCUCGACCCGGAAAAAGGCGUCUUGUCGUCUCCAGGUGGAGAGUCUCUGCCUCAAGUGGAGGAGUUCAAGUAUCUCGGGGUCUUGUUCAUGAGUGAGGGGAGGAUGGAGCGUGAGAUUGACAGGUGGAUCAGUGAUGCGGUCGCUGUAUCGUUGUGGUGAAGAGGACCUGAGUCGAAAGGUGAAGCUCUCGAUUUACCGGUCAGUCUUCGUUCCUACUCUCACCUCUGGUCAUGAGCUCUGGGUAGUGACCGAAAGGACGAGAUCGUGGAUACAAGUGCUCGAAAUGAGUUUCCUCUGCAGGGUGUCUGGGCGUCUCCCUUAGAGACAGAGUGAGGAGCUCAGUCACACGGGAGGAGCUCGGAGUAGAGCCGCUGCUCCUCCACGUGGAGAGGAGCCAGUUGAGGCUUGGGCAUCUGUUCUGAUGUCUCCUGGGCGUCUCCCUCAGGAGGUGUUCAUGUUCCACCGGGAGGAGGCCCCGGGGAAGACCCAGGACACACUGGAGGGACUAUGUCUCUGGACUGGACUGGAAACACCUCGGGGUCCCACUGGAGGAGCUGGAGGAAGUGUCUGGGGUGAAGGAAGUCUGGGAGUCCCUGCUUAGACUGAAGCCCCCACGACCCGACCCCGGAUAAACGGAAGAAAAUGGAUGCAUGGACUCUUGAUGAUUUGUCGAUGACAUAAAGUUUUAAAUUACUUGAAAUGCUUCGAUAAAAAAAAAAAGCUGAAGUACGUCACAUAGAGAGAGGAAAAGGAGGAGGAAGGGAUCUUUGUGUUUGUGUUUUGUUUGUGUUUGUGUUGUGUUUGUGUUGUGUUGUAAUUUCUUGUCUUUCCUGGAGUAUUUUUGCUCCUGUAUUUGUACUUUUACUGAAGUACUGAGUACUUCCACUGUGUCUUUAUACACUUCCUUGAGGACGGGUCAAACGCAGGUUUAAGCAGAGACAUGAGGACGGGUCAAACGCAGACGUCUCUGUGGGGACAAUAAAAUGGACCUGAUCUUUAGUAAACGUGUCAUUUUAAAUCUGUGUUUGUUUUUCAGGUGUUUGGACAAAAUGGAGUCGAGUGAGAAUCCUGCAAACACAAAUCCCUCUGCUCCAAGAAACAAAAACUCUGAAACAAACUCACCGACAACGAGAGGAAGAAAACGAGACAAGAACAACCUGACCACACCUGAAGGGGGCAGUGACGUCAGAGAUCGAUCAAAAAGCCUUUAAUAAACUUCAAAAAGUCACGUUCACCAAAACGUGGCCUCAGAUCCAAGAAGGUCCCGUCCAGAGGAAACGCUCCACCUGCAGCGGAGCAGGAGAAGUUCUGUAGAUCCCAGAAGUCAUCAUCAUCUCUGUGAAGAGCAGGACGAGGCUGUAGAGUGAUUCUUGUUCCAGGGAGAUGAGGACGUCCUAACAGUGGAGCCACGCACCUAGAACUUUGCAUCUAAAAAUACUACAGCACCUUUUUAUGUAUAAACAGAUAUUUGCACUAGCAGUUUGGUUCCUGAAACCUGGGAUGCAACUAUUUUUCACUAUUAUUAGUUUUUGUGUGAUUUGUUUUUAGUUGUGUCCCAGGUUUUAGUUCCCAAAUUGUUGUUGAUUGUGUAUCUUUUUAAAAAAAAAUGUGUCAAAUGAGCUCUUUUAAUACUAACUAAAAUAAAGAACUGUAUAUUUUUCCACUUACCACCCGCCCGCCGGCGGGUGAUUUUCCAAUAAAAAAUGUUCACUCUGUA